UGUGAUGAAAAAAGAGGGGAAAAAAAACCAAAAAACAAAAACAAAAAGAAGCAACUGUCUUUGAUAUCCCGCUGUCGUGGAUCUCUUUCUUCUUGUUAUUUGCCUCCCAAAGUCUUUCUAUUACUACUCUAUUUUCAUCCUCAAUUAGUCAUUUAUCUCCAUUUCCUCUCCCCAGUCUUUGUUUCCAACCUGUGCAAUAUCCAAUCUAGCUUCUAAUUUGUGUUCAAAAUCAAAUAUUACACUGAUCUGCUCUUGUAUACUUCUCAGGGUAGGGAAGGAAGAAAAAUGGCGCUGAGUUGCAAUUUUUGCUGUUUUUCUUCUUCGUUCUCCAUUUUUCAUGGCCCCCCAAGCUCCUAUUCUUCUAGUAGCAAGUCUGUUGUAACCAUUCUUAACUGUUGCGAUUCAACAAAAUCCACCAGCCUACAAGUGAAACUAAACCCAAGAACCAGGAAUACUUCAUCAUUAACUUUGGCUAAUAUUUAUUUCUGCAACAAAUUUCAAUCUAAUUUCAAAGUUAAAGCUACAGAAUCUGAAGUAGAAGCGAGCCCAUUUACGAAAUCAGCACAAGAACGAGGAGAAGAAGUGGACUGCGUGGGUACAGGGCAAGAUGUUGAAUGUGUGGUGGUGCCUUCAACUGCCCCAUCUUCUAAGCCUUUGGACGAUAAACUCCCUCAAAACCCAGGAAAAAAUGAUCUUGAUUCUUCUUUAUCAUCAUCAAAUUUGGCUGGGGAGUUGGUGGAGGCAGUAUGGGAAUGGGGUCUGUUAAUUUCGCCUUUUUUCUUCUGGGGUACGGCUAUGGUGGCCAUGAAAGAAGUUUUACCAAAAACAGGUCCUUUUUUCGUCUCUUCUUUUCGGUUAAUUCCAGCUGGCUUGUUGUUGGUUGGUUUUGCUGCUCUCAAAGGUCGGAGGUUUCCUUCUGGCUUUAAUGCUUGGUUUCCUAUAUUUCUUUUUGCUCUCGUUGAUGCUGCCUGUUUUCAGGGAUUUCUUGCUGAGGGAUUGGAGAGGACAACUGCUGGACUAGGCAGUGUAAUAAUUGAUUCACAGCCUUUGACGGUGGCUAUACUUGCUGCUUUAUUGUUUGGUGAAUCCAUUGGGUUGGUUGGAGCUACUGGGCUCGUGUUUGGUGUCGUUGGACUUCUGCUUCUUGAGGUACCUGCUAUAUCUUUUGACAAGAGUAACUUUUCUCUGUGGGGAAGUGGUGAGUGGUGGAUGCUUCUGGCAGCACAAAGUAUGGCAGUUGGAACUGUCAUGGUCCGUUGGGUUACCAAAUACUCUGAUCCCAUCAUGGCUACAGGGAGCCUGAGAAGUGUGUAUCCUGCUGCAGCACAUGGUUAUUGGUGGCAUCCCUCUUUUAGCAGUCUCCGUUCUUAAUCAUGAUCCUGCUCUCAGUGGGAGCUUUAAGGACCUUUCAUCGAAUGAUCUUUUGGCGCUUCUUUAUACCUCAAUUUUUGGAAGUGCUGUAAGCUAUGGCGUAUACUUCUACAAUGCUACAAGAGGCAGUCUCACGAAGCUCAGUUCUCUUACUUUUCUGACUCCAAUGUUUGCUUCAAUCUUUGGGUUCCUCUACCUUGACGAGACCUUCACUCCCAUACAAGUCAUUGGAGCACUCGUAAUUGUGGCAGCUAUUUUCAUGGUCAAUUACAAAACUUCUGAAGAAAAAUGACUUUUCUUGUAAAGAAAAGCAAUAUAUGGGGGGAGAUAUUAGAUACACCAUGUCGUGAUGCCACUAAUACCAAUCACCCACCAGCAGGUAAUUGUGAUGGGACCCACCCAAGAAGGAUAGCUAAAGGUGGUCAGAUUUCCUCAAAAAAUGCAGGAUAAUAUAGCACUGUACAAAUGUUGGUAGGAUUAAGACUUUAGGAAUUGAACCGUAGUGAUGAUUAGAAACGGGUUUAGGCAGCAGCAUAGUUGUAAAGGCAUGCUUCUAAAAUGUUGUGUAUUUUCCCUGAGAUGGAUCGAAUUUAAAAACGACUUCGCUCUAUUAUGUAAAUCAGUAUUCUGUAUUUCAACAUAUCAGCAUUGUUACGCAGACAGGAAUUGAUAAUUGUUCCAA